rnacentral:rRNA from 1 species
GACGAACGCUGGCGGCGUGCUUAACACAUGCAAGUCGAACGGUAAGGCCCUUCGGGGUACACGAGUGGCGAACGGGUGAGUAACACGUGGGUGAUCUGCCCUGCACUUCGGGAUAAGCCUGGGAAACUGGGUCUAAUACCGGAUAGGACCACUGCCUGCAUGGGUGGUGGUGGAAAGCUUUUGCGGUGUGGGAUGGGCCCGCGGCCUAUCAGGUUGUUGGGGGGGUGAUGGCCUACCAAGGCGACGACGGGUAGCCGGCCUGAGAGGGUGACCGGCCACACUGGGACUGAGAUACGGCCCAGACGCCUACGGGAGGCAGCAGUGGGGGAUAUUGCACAAUGGGCGCAAGCCUGAUGCAGCGACGCCGCGUGAGGGAUGACGGCCUUCGGGUUGUAAACCUCUUUCAGCACCGACGAAGCGCAAGUGACGGUAGGUGCAGAAGAAGGACCGGCCAACUACGUGCCAGCCGCCGCCGUAA